rnacentral:misc_RNA from 1 species
AGCAGCCGCGGUAAUUCCAGCUCCAAUAGCGUAUAUUAAAGUUGUUGCAGUUAAAAAGCUCGUAGUUGAAUUUCGGAAUCAAUGGAUCGGUCAUGCCACUCGGUGUGUACUGGUUUGAUUGGUUCUCACCUUCUAAGGAACCGUGAUGUCAUUAAUUUGGUGUCGCGGGGAAUUAGGACUGUUACCUUGAAAAAAUUAGAGUGUUUAAAGCAAGCUCACGCUUGAAUACAUUAGCAUGGAAUAAUGAAAUAGGACAUUGUAUUCUAUUUUGUUGGUUUCUAGGAUCGAUGUAAUGAUUAAUAGGGAUAGUUGGGGGCAUUAGUAUUCAAUUGUCAGAGGUGAAAUUCUUGGAUUUAUUGAAGACUAACUACUGCGAAAGCAUUUGCCAAGGAUGUUUUCAUUAAUCAAGAAUGAAAGUUAGGGGAUCGAAGACGAUCAGAUACCGUCGUAGUCUUAACCAUAAACUAUGCCGACUAGGGAUCGGAUGAUGUUAAUUUUUUAAUGACUCAUUCGGUGCCUU